rnacentral:rRNA from 1 species
GAUGAACGCUGGCGGCGUGCCUAAUACAUGCAAGUAGAACGCUGAAGGAAGGAGCUUGCUCUUUCCGGAUGAGUUGCGAACGGGUGAGUAACGCGUAGGUAACCUGCCUGGUAGCGGGGGAUAACUAUUGGAAACGAUAGCUAAUACCGCAUAACAGUAGAUGUUGCAUGACAACUAUUUGAAAGGGGCAAUUGCUCCACUACCAGAUGGACCUGCGUUGUAUUAGCUAGUUGGUGAGGUAACGGCUCACCAAGGCGACGAUACAUAGCCGACCUGAGAGGGUGCUCGGCCACACUGGGACUGAGACACGCCCCAGACUCCUACGGGAGGCAGAAGUAGGGAAUCUUCGGCAAUGGACGGAAGUCUGACCGAGCAACGCCGCGUGAGUGAAGAAGGUUUUCGGAUCGUAAAGCUCUGUUGUAAGAGAAGAACGAGUGUGAGAGUGGAAAGUUCACACUGUGACGGUAUCUUACCAGAAAGGGACGGCUAACUACGUG